rnacentral:rRNA from 1 species
CACGUAGGGUCCGAGCGUUGUCCGGAAUUACUGGGCGUAAAGCGCGCGCAGGCGGUCCAUUCAGUCGCUGGUGAAAGCCCCACGCUCAACGUGGGAAGGUCCGGCGAGACGGGUGGACUGGAGGCAGGGGAGAGGUCGGUGGAAUUCCGGGUGUAGUGGUGAAAUGACGUAGAGAUCCGGAGGAACACCAGAGGCGAAGGCGGCCGACUGGACCUGACCUGACGCUGAGGCGCGAAGGCGUGGGGAGCGAACG